AAUCAGAGAACUAUUUAAAUGUUCCUGCUCUUACAUGACUGCAUUUUUCAGCACUCAUCUGAGACAAUCUGCAAAUGCACUUUGGUAAAUAAGUAAGACCUUUUGGCAAUUCCAUUUUGACCUAACAAUGUCAGCAUGAAUGAAUUAUACUGUAUUGUUUUAUUGAGAUGACCAGUCCACCUGUAAACGCACGCUAAACAUUUUAAGGCACUUUGCUUUUUCUUAUUGAUCCUGAAGGGAUUAUUAUUUUUUUAAUCUUUUGUUUUUGCUGCAUACAAAUCAAAUAGUGAUAAC